CCAGCCAGCCUAAGAAUGUCCGAUGGCAACAGCGCUACCGCCGGCCGGCGACGGCGGACGAAGCGUCUCAGCGCGGAGAAAGGGGGCGAGCAGCCUAGAGAGAGGGAGAGAGAUACGCGGGAAGUAGGCGGUGCGGCGGGGAGACGCCGUCAUAUGGAACGGCCCGCCGCCGCCGGUUGUUUCCGCCGCACCAGCAAGGGCUACACGAUCCAGACAAUUAGAGCUCCUGAGAAGUAGAGGAUGUUGUUGAUUCAACGUGCACUUGAACACCCUCUAACAGCGGAAUCUGAAAAGGUUCUUCAGAUCCCGGUAGGUGAAUGCUGCUUCUCUCAUGGCAUCUGCUUUCUUCUCAGGCCAGUUAGGGAAGUGCUUGAGCACUGCCCGUUCGUCUAUCAGUUGUGACAGCAAAAGCCUGAAUACAAGCUUUCUUCUGCCUCAAGCUGUGUAAAAGGAACUCAGAUGGAACUCCUUUACCAGCCCUGGACACCUUUGGCUAAUAAGACCAAGUGAAUAUUUUGAAAAGUAGAGGGACAAGAAGAAACAAAAUAAAGCUGAGCAAAAGAAGGGGAAAGCAGAUCUGAAUGUGUUUAUCUUUCAAAAUACACAGGUUUCUGGUGAAGCCUUUCCUACCUGUAUCUGAACAGCAUUGGGCAUCUGUUUAUGUCACCAAAUAUAGGCAGUAGCAGAACCCCGAAAACAACAUAUAGUAGGUUUAGAAAAAGGAGUCCCUACGAAGGAAGAUUCUGGCAAUGUUAUAAAGGAAAUGUAGAAAUAAACUGUUACAGGAUGACAGCAGAUUAAGCUGGCAUCAAAGGUUACUCUGUGUACUCUGAGAUACAGGUACCAUUGUAAAGUCCCUGAUCCGUAGGGAACUGAGGCCAUGUUUAAGGAGUUCAUUGA